UGGGGAAUUUUCCGCAAUGGGGGCAACCCUGACGGAGCAAUACCGCGUGAGGGAGGAAGGCUUUUGGGUUGUAAACCUCUUUUCUCUGGGAAGAAGGACUGACGGUACCAGAGGAAUCAGCAUCGGCUAACUCCGUGCCAGCAGCCGCGGUAAGACGGAGGAUGAAAGCGUUAUCCGGAAUUAUUGGGCGUAAAGCGUCCGUAGGCGGUUUAUGAAGUCAGUUGUUAAAGACUGCAGCUCAACUGUGGGCGAGCAACUGAAACUGAUGAACUAGAGUGCGGUAGGGGUAGAGGGAAUUCCCAGUGUAGCGGCGAAAUGCGUAGAUAUUGGGAAGAACACCAGUGGCGAAGGCGCUCUACUGGGCCGCAACUGACGCUGAGGGACGAAAGCUAGGGGAGCGAAAGGGAUUAGAUACCCCCGUAGUCC
rnacentral:rRNA from 1 species